AUACGUAGGGGGCGAGCGUUGUCCGGAAUGAUUGGGCGUAAAGGGCGCGUAGGCGGCCCGGUAAGUCUGGAGUGAAAGUCCUGUUUUUAAGAUGGGAAUUGCUUUGGAUACUGUCGGGCUUGAGUGCAGGAGAGGUAAGUGGAAUUCCCAGUGUAGCGGUGAAAUGCGUAGAGAUUGGGAGGAACACCAGUGGCGAAGGCGACUUACUGGACUGUAACUGACGCUGAGGCGCGAAAGUGUGGGGAGCAAACAGGAUUAGAUACCCUGGUAGUCCACACUGUAAACGAUGAAUGCUAGGUGUAGGGGGUAUCGACCCCUUCUGUGCCGCAGUCAACACAAUAAGCAUUCCGCCUGGGGUGUACGGCCGCAAGGUUGAAACUCAAAGGAAUUGACGGGG
rnacentral:rRNA from 1 species